CAGCAUGUAAACAAGAGAGACCAUGCAGGACGCCCGCCACGCCGAACGCUGCUAGUCAUGUAUCAUAAAUAUUAAAGUCAGUAACCAUGCAAUGGCUUUACAUGAACCCAACAACCAAGGGCAUCUACAGCAACACACAACACCACAGGCACUAGCACGAUAUUUGUGGGAGGAGCCGGCCCCUACAAUGUGUGCAGCUAUCCUACACAAUGGGCGCCCGGAGGACCAGGUGACAGACUUGCUCUACCUCGUGGCUUCAUGAGAAAGAGCAAGUUUCAAGUGGAACAGUGUUGCUGUAAAUUCAUGGGUCAGUAGCGACUGACCCCAUUGGCAAGUUUUGCUCUGCUGCUGUGUCUGGUUCAGAGCCAUCCAGAUGUUGAUGGAUGGAGCCUGCCCCUGCGAUGUGUUCAGCUACACAAUGCUCUGCUGGAGGACUAGGUGAUAGACAAUGGCUUCAUGACGUAGAGCAAAACUAGAAGUGGAACAGUGACUCCAAAAACUUGGCAUUAAUCUCAGGGGUCAAUAGCUAGCCACACCACAAGUUUUGCUCUGCUUCUGUGUCUGGUUCACAACUAUCCAGAUAUUUGUGGGUGGAGCCGGCCCCUACAAUGUGUGCAGCUCUCCUACACAAUGAGCGCUCAGAGGACCAGGUGACAGACAUGCUCUACCUCGUGGCUUCAUGAGAAAGAGCAAGUUUCAAGUGGAACAGUGAUGCUGUAAAUUCAUGGGUCAGUAGCGACUGACCCCAAUGGCAAGUUUUGCUCUGCUGCUGUGUCUGGUUCAGAGCCAUCCAGAUGUUGAUGGAUGGAGCCUGCCCCUGCGAUGUGUUCAGCUACACAAUGCUCUGCUGGAGGACUAGGUGAUAGACAAUGGCUUCAUGACGUAGAGCAAAACUAGAAGUGGAACAGUGACUCCAAAAACUUGGCAUUAAUCUCAGGGGUCAAUAGCUAGCCACACCACAAGUUUUGCUCUGCUUCUGUGUCUGGUUCACAACUAUCCAGGUGUUUGUGGGUGGCGUCGGCUUCUAUGAUGUGAGCAGUUCACAUAAACAAUGGCUUCAUAAGGUAUAGCGAGUCUUUACAAGUGGAACAGUCACUCCAAAAAUGUGGCAUUAAACUCGGUGGUCAGUAGGUGGCCACACCAGAAGUUUUGCUCAGCUACUGUGUCUAGUUCAGAUCCAUCAAGGUAAAUAGUGUAACAAAUGGGGGUCUGUGAAUGUAACAAUUAGGGCUAGUGCUCCCAGAUGCAAUGAAUGCCUUGGGCUAUAAAGUGCAACACUAGAUAGGGACAUGAUCUAUUAAAUUUAGAAUUAAAAGCGACUUGCGAGUAUUCUUAUUAUCCAGCACUCGCUCAAAAUCCAAUGGAAAGGUAAUUGUUCUUCCCGCACCUUCAGAACAAUAUUCAGGUAGUAUCCUCAUCUGGACAGCUUCUUUAUGUAUGAUAUGUUUGCUCCAGCAAACAGACACCAUUUAAAAAAAAAAAUCAUAGGCAACAUUCCCGGGUGUGAAAGCCUCUGUACUGAGUGAACAACCAAGGCUGGCACCGCAGCAUGAGCUAACAGUACUGCUGUUAGCUCAUUUAUUUAGUGAUGAUAGUACUACAGACGAGUCUGACUGUGUACAAUGUUCAGAUAAUAGUGAACACAUUGCUGUUAAAGAUGUUCACAGCGCUAGCUACAGCACACUGCCAUUGUUUGGGCAUCUAAGAAUCUUGAAAUGACUAGUCAUGUACCUUUACAAAAUAAACUUAUACAUAUCAA